UAACCGUGCGAAGGUAGCGUAAUCAUUUGUCCUUUAAAUGAGGACUGGUAUGAACGGCUUCACGAGGGCUGCACUGUCUCCUUUUUCUAAUCAGUUAAACUAAUCUCCCCGUGAAGAAGCGGGGAUUCACCUAUAAGACGAGAAGACCCUAUGGAGCUUUAAACAAUUGUUAACAUUUGCAUUUAAAAACUUUUCUACUACAUAAAGUCCAAGCACUAUGUUUCUAGUUUUAGGUUGGGGUGACCAUGGAGAAAAACCCAUCCUCCAUGUUGAAAGAAAUUUUAUUUCUUAGCAAAAAGUUACAUCUUAAUGCAUCAACAAAUUGACCCUAAUUGACCCAAUAAUUUGAUCAACGAACCAAGUUACCCUAGGGAUAACAGCGCAAUCCACUUCAAGAGCUCUUAUCGACAAGUGGGUUUUGAGGG
rnacentral:rRNA from 1 species